rnacentral:rRNA from 1 species
GAUGAACGCUGGCGGCGUGCCUAAUACAUGCAAGUCGAGCGAACAGACAAGGAGCUUGCUCCUCUGACGUUAGCGGCGGGCGGGUGAGUAACACGUGGAUAACCUACCUAUAAGACUGGGAUAACUUCGGGAAACCGGAGCUAAUACCGGAUAAUAUAUUGAACCGCAUGGUUCAAUAGUGAAAGACGGUUUUGCUGUCACUUAUAGAUGGAUCCGCGCCGCAUUAGCUAGUUGGUAAGGUAACGGCUUACCAAGGCAACGAUGCGUAGCCGACCUGAGAGGGUGAUCGGCCACACUGGAACUGAGACACGGUCCAGACUCCUACGGGAGGCAGCAGUAGGGAAUCUUCCGCAAUGGGCGAAAGCCUGACGGAGCAACGCCGCGUGAGUGAUGAAGGUCUUCGGAUCGUAAAACUCUGUUAUUAGGGAAGAACAAAUGUGUAAGUAACUAUGCACGUCUUGACGGUACCUAAUCAGAAAGCCACGGCUAACUACGUG